AACGGGAUCAGGGCUUCCACUUGGGAGCUGGUCAAAUUCCACCGUGAACACAACAGGCUUAACGCAAAGCCCGGCUGACGGAAGGACAAGGGGACGCUCCCUCUCUAUGCAGCUGUACUGUCAAAACCAUUCCCUCUCCGGGCUCACUCAUUUCCACCAGGCCCCGAACAAGCCUCCAUGCGGGCAAACACACCCUUGGGCCACGAGCUGUCAUGUUUGGGCUGGAAGACCAUCUUUGCAGAAGGGGAGGUUUGGACACAGAGAAGAGACCACAGGGAGGACGCCAUGGAAGACUAGACCUGUGCUGCCACAAGCCGAGGAACCACUGGGAGCCUUGGAGAGGCCUGGACAGACGCUCCCCCAGCGCCUCCAGAGGGAGACGGCCCUGCCACCCCUGGGUCCCGGACUGCUGCCUCCAGGACUGAGCGAGAACUAAGUUCCGUCGUUUAAGCCCCCAGCCUGGGGCGCUUUGAUAUGGCAGCCCCAGGACACUGACACAACCGAGACCUUUAGAUACAUAGAUAGUCUGCCAUCUGUGUAGCAUGCACUCUGAGGAAUAAAGUGUAGCUUAGCACCUCUAGUUGUUUCCUUCUUGUUUUUUUCUGAAGCUAAAUGAAAGCACAGCCUCAUCUAAUCUUUGCAUCGUCCGGGUAAUUAGCUCCAGGAUGAUCAAGGCAGAGUUGCUCAUAAACAUUUCUUAAUUUUUCAUCAGGACACUUCUCCCAAAGAAUUCAUCACAGACCGUUUCAAAGAGCAAACUCCCCUGGAACAUUUUAAAAUAGGAUUCAAUUUACAAGCAUCUGUGACCGGCCACUUUGCACGAAGUCGGGUUCACCUGUGCCCCUCCGCUGGGGGUAGCGUCCUCGGGGUGCACACGA
rnacentral:lncRNA from 1 species